CCAUAGGAGACGCACUUCCUAAAGCAAGUUUCACCAAUAGGAGACGCACUUCCUAAGCAAGUUUCACCAAUAGAAGACGCACUUCCUAAGUUUAUUUCACCAAUAGGAGACGCACUUCCUAAGUUUCAGUUUCACCAAUAGGAGACGCACUUCCUAAGCAAGUUUCACCAAUAGGAGACGCACUUCCUAAGCAAGUUUUCACCAAUAGGAGACGCACUUCCUAAGCAAGUUUCACCAAUAGGAGACGCACUUCCUAAGCAAGUUUCACCAAUAGGAGACGCACUUCCUAAGAUAAUUUCACCGAUAGGAGACGCACUUCCUAAGUUUAUUUCAUCAAUAGGAGACGCACUUCCUAGGUUCAGUUUCACCAAUAGGAGACGCACUUCCUGAGCAAGUUUCACCAAUAGGAGACGCACUUCCUAAGUAAGUUUCACCAAUAGGAGACGCACUUCCUAAGUAAGUUUCACCGAUAGGAGACGCACUUCCUAAGUUUAUUUCACCAAAAGGAAACCCACUUCCUAAGUCAGUUUAACCAUAGGAGACGCACUUCCUAAGUCAGUUUCACCAUAGGAGACGCACUUCCUAAGUCAGUUUCACCAUAGGAGACGCACUUCCUAAUGUUCAGUUUCACCAUAGGAGACGCACUUCCUAAAGCAAGUUUCACCAAUAGGAGACGCACUUCCUAAGCAAGUUUCACCAAUAGGAGACGCACUUCCUAAGAUAAUUUCACCGAUAGGAGACGCACUUCCUAAGUUUAUUUCACCAAUAGGAGACGCACUUCCUAGGUUCAGUUUCACCGAUAGGAGACGCACUUCCUAAGCAAGUUUCACCAAUAGGAGACGCACUUCCUAAGAAUAGUUUCACCAAUAGGAGACACACUUCCUAAGUUAAUUUCACCGAUAGGAGACGCACUUCCUAAGUUUAUUUCACCAAUAGGAGACGCACUUCCUAAGCAAGUUUCACCAGUAGGAGACGCACUUCCUAGGUUCAUUUUCACCAAUAGGAGACGCACUUCCUAAGCAAGUUUUACCCAGUAGGAGACGC
rnacentral:lncRNA from 1 species